rnacentral:misc_RNA from 1 species
GUUUUACCCUUCUUCAAAAACAUCCACUCUCGAAUCAUCCCCCGAUUCCAGCCACUCUCUAUAUUUAACAGCCACGUGAUAAUUUUUGUCAAUCAAAACCAAACAGCACACCUGAACUCAGCGCGUGGUCUACAAAACCCCAAACAUCGAAUUAGCAAUAAACGCCCUUCUUUGUAAGUUUGCAAUUGAGAAAAAAUAAACAAAACAGACCUAAUUGA